AUUAUACUCUUUUUUCAUCAAGAAAAAAAAAGAAAAAAAGAUUGAUAGGUUGUAUGGAAAGUUAAGUCUCGAACCAUUCAUUAUACGCUCGAAGAAAAAGAGUCUCAAUUACCAGAAUGCUUUCAAGAGGAUGAGACAAUAGGAGUUCAUCAAUCAUUCGAUGAUGUGGAAUUGGUUGCUCCAAAAAUUCUCGUACGUGAAGAGGGCCAACAUGAGGAGGUAGAUCCAACUGAGAUUAUUUUAAAAGAUAAUCCUCCCCA
rnacentral:lncRNA from 1 species